rfam:Caldibacillus debilis strain B4135 NODE_184, whole genome shotgun sequence.
AGAGUCCUGAUGUGUGCGUUGUGAAACCAAGUUUUGACCGAACACCAAUAGCCAAGGGAGUCCGGAGUUCCUAUGCGGCGCAAAAGCCUUCUCCGAAAGGACUUGCAAAGUAUAGGACAGGACACCCACCUGCCGAGAGCGGGUUCAAAACGUUGGCGAUAGACAACGGCACGAUUGGGACUCUC